rnacentral:sRNA from 1 species
UCACGAACUUGGCCUGGAUUUUGAGACAAUGCUGCUAGUGCAGCAAACUGCUCCGUCAUGUUAGUAGCAGACUUGUAUUCAACAAAUGCAAGUUCAGUGGUGUCCGGUUCAUUCAGAGAUGCAAGAUAAGCAAGGCAUGUGUUUUUCAAUGCACGGCGGGCCAUGCUAUCAUGGUUAAAUGUAUAAGCUUCAGAACUUCUCUUGGUGCCACUUACUGUUGAAAGAAGGUCAUCUUUGAGUUGAAGGGCAAGCUCCUUCUUAAUAAAGGUACGGACAGCAUGAACUGCAUCAGGAUCUGCAACUGGCAUCAUAUCCAUAAUCUCCCCUUGACCCGGCAAAGUUAUCGCUUUCGCAAU